AAAAAAAACUUUAAAAAUGAAAAAAUUGAUAAUGUUCUCGGUUUUAUUGGAUAAUUGAAUCAAACUAAUAGGUAGAAAGACAAAAACAUACUCUCAUGCUCUCUUUUUUUUCAUCAGUUAGUGAAACAAUUAUCUGAAACAUUACUAUGCAAGAUUGAUAAUAUUCUUAGUUUUGAAAAUUGGAAAAACUGACAGUUUUACUAAAAGACUUAUUGGUUCAAAAAAAUUUAGAUAGAACCUGAGCUAUCAUAACAUUUAUAAAUAAGACUUUUAGGUAAUUACCUAUUCUUUUAAUCAAUUAGAAACAUUAUUAAUAUUAUUACAUUUCUGUUUGCAAAAUUAAUAACUAACAUACUUAUUCACAUGAGCUAAUAUAAAAUUUACUAGUUUGCAAUUAACUUUAGAAUUCAACCAGAGGAUCCUCUGUUUUUUUUUAUUUUUUCACAAUAAAAAAAAAAUCUGGAUUAAAAAAUUCAAAAAAAUAAACAUUACAAACAUCAUUUCCCUAACAUUUUAUUUCCUUUAACAAAUCCAACAUCCCUAAAAAAAA